CUACAGCUGCUUAUUUCAGCUUCAAACGGCCAUAACUUGUAAAUAUUAUCUGCUACACGUUUUCUAGUGGACGUAGUGACGCCACGUCUUUUAGAUUUGGUGUAAACGACGGAAAUAAUCAUCGUAAUUCUCUUUACAGCGAUAGUCGAUCGUGACUGCUUAACUCUAUGACAUGACGCUAGGACUCAGAUCUACGACCCAAUAUUGCUGCAACAUGUUUGUUCUUCACAUUUUGUGUCUGAUUAAAAUUGCACGAGUGACCACCGAGUUGUUUCACCACUUUUAAUAUCUGUAUGAGACCAGUUAAACCAGUAAUAUGCUUUCAUGUUGCCACAACGUGAUUAUUAGAGGCAAAGCUUAUAAUCAGAAGCUAAAUUCCGCCUCAUUUUAAGUCAGUAGAGCUCUUCUUGUUCAUAUUAACAAAUUCAAAUUAACUUGACCACUGUCUGUACCUGUCUGAGACCAGUACAACCAGUAAGAUAAUUUUUACCAAAAAGUGAUUCAUGCCAAUAUCUUUUGACAAUAGGCUUAUUUCUGUCUCAUUUUAAAUCCACAGAGCUCUUUUUGUUUAUAUUAACACAUUUAAGUUCACUUGACUACAUUCUGCACCUGUAAGGUAGAAUCACUUUUUGGCAACAUGAAAACAAGCCUUUUCUUGUUUCUGCUGAUUUCAGACAGGUACAAGAAGUGAUCAGAUGGACUGGAUGUUGACUAAAUCUUCAGUUUGAUCCAGUAGAACACAUUUAAAGUUAAAACGAGGCAGAUAUAAGUUUCUCAUCAAAACAGAGAGGCUUGAAUCACUUUUUGGCAAUGUGAAGACAGAAUCUUACUAGUUCUACUGGCCUCAGACAGGUACAGACAGAGGUCAACUUAACUUAAAUCUGUUAAUAUUAAUAAGGACAGCUCCGCUGACUUAAAAUGAGAAAUAGGCUUUUUAUUUAAAAAUAUUGGCAUAAAUCACUUUUUGGCAACGUGGAAACAGCAUUUUACUGGUUGUGCUGGUCUCUGACAAGUACAGACAGUGGUCAAGUGAGCUGGAUAUUCAUUAAACCUGUCAUUUCAACUUAAUGACAGCUUAACUGAUCUCAAACUAGUGUAGAAAGUGAAGAAGAUAAGUGAAUGCUCAUUAAACUAUUAUUAUAAUCCAACAGAGCUCAAUGAAUUUAAAAUAAGGGAGAAAGAAGCUUUCAGUAAACAGAUUUAGGCUUUAGGCCUAAAGCCUAAAGCCUUUAGGCUUUAAUCACUUUGUGGCAACAUUAAACCAGCAUGCUGCUAGUUCUACUGGUCUUAGACAGGAACAGACAAAGAUCAGAUGGACUGGAUAUGUAUUGCAUCUGUAAAUAUAACAAAUCAGAGCUCAGUGUAUUUAAAAUAAGGCGGAAUUAAGCUUCUGAUCAAAAGCUUUGCCUCUAAUAAUCACGUUGUGGCAACAUGAAAGCAUAUUACUGGUUUAACAGGGGCCCGUUUCAAGAAGGAGAUUUAACAAACUCUGAGUUAAAAAGGAACUCUGAGUUGAUUUACUCUGAGUUUGCAAACCUGGAGUUUUCGGUUCCAGAACAGCUGAAAAGAGUUGGUUUAAGCAACUCUGAGUUGUCUGACUCAGAGUUAAGCGCGUGCACCGCGACGAUACAAAGCCCUGAUCAAUGAAGUGAAGAUAUUACGAGUCACCAUGGCAACAUGACAACAAAAUACGUCCGGAAAUGGAUACGUUACCUCAAGCAAAUAACGACUACGAGUCUAUAUUCGGUAGAAAAGGCAACACGGCUGCAGCGGCGAAAGAGAAAGAAUUAGCUUGGAAGAAAAUAGCUCGUCGAGUCAAUGCCCAACAGAAAGGAGGCAGAGGCUAGAACAACAGAGCAUGCAGAGGAGAUGGCACUUGGCUCGAACACUAGAAAGCAGGGGCUGAAGGAAAUCCUGGAGGGAGUUCAUCAGAACCAGUCACUCCCCAGGAUACAAGUGCAUGUGUAAAAUAAAUUGGCGUUGUCGGCAGGAUCCCGCGGCAGGUCGUCUGGACGGUGUGACCAGGGACGAUAAUCCUGAGGACUAGGGUCGCUCAGCCUCCAAACCUCUACAGACAUUCAGAGCUGGGAGGACUGCUCACCCGUCUGGAUCGCCUCUGACGAGAUCCACGAACUCAGAUUCAAACUCAAAUCCUAAUUUGGCUCGGCUCGGUGAGAGAGAUUCCUUUUAAUUUGGGAAAAAACAUAAAAGAAAACAUAACUAGGACUAGAGAUAAUAAUAUUUCUAAAACGACUAUGUGGCUGAAAACAUCUAAAAUAUAAUAAUUAGGACCAAACAAUUUUUUUUUUAAUUAAAAAAUGUAAUAUUCGGGUAAAAUGAAUUAGGUCAAAGUCUGCCCUGGUGGUCGAGACGGUGGUUGCUAAGGGUUGGCUCGUGGGACCGAGCUUGUUUUGUCUGUACUGAGGAUACAGACCAGUGUGCAGAUCUGAGCGCAGUCCAAAGGGUGUGGACAAGGAAAUAAAAGACGGCUUCUGAAAUACGGAGCGCGUUUGCAGGGGGAAGUGGUUUUGAGAUACGAGGGACCCGGGUCUUAGAGGGGCCUGACGGUGAGGGACCACUUCCGAGAACCCUGUCGCUGAUCUGAGCGGUUCCCUUUCUACGGAGACGUCCGUGGAAGAGAAAUUUCGAAAAAAGGUUCCGGCCGGAACACAUAAAAAUCUAAGGCAGGAAACCGCCGGGACUCUGAAAGAUGGGUUCGGGGCGAUCUAAGUCUCCACCACCAGACUGCAGCAUUACAAAAUUAAAAGUAAUUAUAAAAGUAAAAAGUAAAUAUGGUUAUUAGUGCGUUUCAUGUUUCCAUGAGUGGGAAACUGGUUAUGGGUUCAAAAGGAGAAUCGCUUUGUGUAAGGACAUAUGCACCUUAAAAGAAAAAUUAGAGACAAAAGAAAAUACUUGAAAAAGCAAAACUAUCAAAACUAAAGCCCUAAAAGAAACAAAAGAUGAAAGUAACGGAAAGAAAGGAGAUAACAACUCUGGGGAAGAAUUGUUUGCACUCUGCCACACACACACACCACACACACACACCACACACACACAUAUCAUGCCAAGAGCAAAUGCUCCCAUUGUUUCUGCUCUUUGUCCUAAUGCAGAACUGAGCGCGAUGAGGGUAAAUCCGGAUCUGGACUCCUUUCCCACCAUCAGCAGAAGAACCAAAGGAGAAGAAGCGCCUGACCAACAACCAGAACAGGGUGGAAGCUCUGACACCACAGCAGCUGGAGGACACAGACCACAGCAUGGACGCCUCAGCGACUCUCACAACGUCUGCAGUCAUCACGUUCUGGGCUCAUCAGAUGAAACAGCUACUACAAGCCCUGCACCAGCAUGAAAGGACUGUGUCUGAAGCUUCUGAAGCCGUGAAAGUGUCAUACACGCGUGUGUGUCUGACAGACACCUGCUUAUGACAAUCAGCAAAGGAAAACAAGGACAGAGCAACAGCAGAGUGAGAAAACGUGCUCUGACACGGACACUGGUUGAAACAACAGGAGAGGCUUCAGACGUGAUCGGCCCAAUAGAGCUGCAUCCAAGCAUCCAGGAAAGGUCUGUCAUCGAGGAACAACUGUCCCAUUGAAAGGCUUCACCCGCUGGCGCUCACAUCAGACUGAUGGUUGGGGAAGGAGGAAGGUGACGGUUUCUUUUCACGUGACGUACAAGACGGUACCGCAAACACACACACACACAUUCAUACACGCAAUGAAGAAACACGCUUACAGCUGAUACACGCUCAAAUUCAUGUUCAUGCUUAUCUGCUCGCAAUGAAGAAUCGCUUUUUGCUCAAAAAAAAAUCCCACAGAGUGAUUUUAAAAAUAUGACAAACAGCUAAAUGACAACUGCUGCAUGACUUUACAGUCUGAUGGGUUUAAACUAUUUUAACUUGCAACAAAUUCAGUAAUAAAAUCCUUCAUGUUUCUAAAAAUACUUGUGCACAAUAUAGGUUUGUCUGGCCAGACGGUAGAAAAACAAAACAGACUGUAGAAAAAACAAAACAGACUAUAGGAAGACUGAGACUGACUGAAACAGACUAUUAAUGACUAUUAAAGGGAAGACGACUAUUAGAGAGAAGUAAUAAUAAUUACUGUACGUACCAGACUAUUAAAGAAAACUUAUUUUUUCACUGUCUUAUGCAACAUCUGACAGCGAGACACCUUGAGAUUUAUUGUUGCUUUCAAAUUUAUGCCCAGUUAAAUUUUUAGGAAGAGAUCUCAUGUGUAAAUUAGGUAUUUGAUUGAUUUCCACUCCAGACGGAGUGCAGGUUACAUCUACAGACAUUCUAAAUAAUCCCUCUUUUGUUGGUGUUAACUUCAGCUCAGCUGUGCUCUUAUCAUUGGCUGCUGAGGGGGGGCUGUAACUGAGGCCCUCACACAGGCUGCAUCACAGCUUGUUUAUGAUUUCACACACACACACACACACACACACACACACACACACACACACACACACACACACACACACACUGACAAACUGACCUCAACUUCCCUCUUUUGGGAUGAACACAGGUCUGCGCUUGCGAUUUCUUUUACUAACGAACAAAAAAGAUUUUUGAUGUUUAUUCUACAGUUCCACACGUCCCUCUGUGAAAACAUGAUGGAGACAGACGCAGGACGUGGGUCCUUUUGUGAACAGAUGUCAACGGGGUGGAGACUGGUGAACGACUUCUGACCCCAUGUGAUGUAUUCACCUACUUUGCAUACUUUAGAAAACUUUUUUUUAUUCUGCCUGUUAUGUGCAGCAAACAGUGAACUUGGUACCUCCACAUUCUAAUGACACACUACAUGCUUUUGUUUUUAUUUUGAUUUUUCAGAGGACGCUCUGACCCAACACUCAGCCUUACAGGAAGCCCUGCUUCCCUGUGGCUCACACACAGACAUGAUGUAGGUUUGAUCAGAGGAUGUGAACCAGUGGUCAUCACAUCUAAAUCUGACCACAGACCAUGUAAACAACACCACCCUCUUAAAGGAGCCAAAGAUGGCGUUACUGCAGACACCGCUAAGAUACUGAAACAUUGGAUGCUACAGGCCACAAAGAGCCUGUCUAAAUUACAGUUUGUUCAGACAAAGGUUAUUUUUCUGGGUCAUUGUAAUUACAGCUGAUGGCAAAUCCAUCUCACCCAACAGAGUUAAAGCAAUUUGAAACCUGCCUAAACCGUGCACGUAAAAACAGCUGAUGUCUUUUCUAGGUCUUUGUUCUUAUUGUAGGACCUUCAGUCCUAACUUUACUGUCUUUGAGGCCCCACUCAGGGUUCUGAUGCAGACAUCUUCAUCGUCCACUUCUUGUCUCACGUGGACGUCUGAGGCUGAACAACGUUCACUGACCUCAUGCUUGCUCUUCAGUUGGCUCCUACCUUGGGUCUUCCUGAUCUGACCCUAUGCGACCUUUCACUCAAACAGUGGAUGAGAGAUCAGGUUGUACGACUUCUGUUCUUUGUCCUCAUACUGUGUCUUUGAUUCUUUUGGAAAACAUCACAUCUUUCUACAGCCCGAUGGCUUAGAUGCAACACCACCUUGCUCAACAUGCUGAACGUUACUAUCAAGAGGCCGUCUUGAAGUCUGGCUCUUUGCUAAGACACUACUCUGCUCAGGCUGCAGAGUUGAUCAUGUCGUGUAUUUCUAUUCUCAACCACGACAGAGAUUUCACAAGAACUCAACUUUGAAGUUUAAAUCAAUAGCAUACAAAUUUAUUAUACAUGACAAAUUAAAACAAUCAUAUAAUGAUUACAAAAGAGUAAUAACAAGAGAGGCAGAGACCGAAUUCACCUGCUUGUUCCUCUGCAGAGAGAACCGAGAGGUCGGAAAGGGUCCGCUGUGUGCUACCAGCGGACCCUCUGCGAAGCGCUCUGAAAACCCCAGCCUGUGAAGGCCUGCUUUUAACCACCACCUAAAAUCUUUCCACAUGUCCAAAUAAGGACGUGUAGAUGUUUUUCUCGGCUACUUGGAAAGUCCUGGCGCUGGGCCGUGUUAUCUGUCCAGCUCCAGCUUCAUCUGGCCCACCAUCAACCUCCCAGUUCCUUUCCCAGGUCGGCGUGACAUUUUGAAUAUUUCCUUAGGAACAGCUCGAAUAAACAGUUUACGCAACAGAUUCUGCGAACCCAGAUUCUACGAACCCAGUUUAAGCAAACUCUUUCACACCCCACCCCACACGAACCCAUCUACUCUCUGUACUUCUCUCAUAAGCAAUGAUCAAUUUUACUGCUAAAAGUAAAUGUAAAUGUCUGUUUCCUGGAGUCUAUCCCAGAUGCUCCCCAGACAACGACCCUGCGAAACUGCAAGGGUUGAGGAACAGUCACUGCAUCUUAACCUGACCCGAACAGAUUGUUCACUACCUAUAUAAUAAUACAUGAUAUGAUACAUAAAUAUACUACAAUCACAUUGACUGAAGCUAGUAAACGAGCAGAAGGAGAGUCUGUUACCAUCUACACGGACUCCACAGACGCUCUGUGGAAGCAUAGGAAGCUUUUUUGAAGUCUAAUUGCAAACCUAUCUCACAUCAUGAUUAGGUUCUGCUUUGCUGGACACUGUCCUGCCACCUACAGCUAAUGCUGUUUUUACAUCAUCAGUGACGACUUUGUUUCUGCCGACAUGCAGCUGCAGACGCUGCUGCGAAGGACGAGAACCCCUCCCUCUCCUGAUCCUCGUUUCCUCUCCUCAUCCUUGUUUCCUCUCUCCAACUCUCUCUAUCCUUUCCUUCCUAUCUCCCUGUGCUUUAAACAUUUUCUACCUCACAGGAACGCAGACUCUGGCUGACGCAUGGUUCCACCUGUAGCCAUGGAGUCUGGUUUGGGCCUGAUGACACGCCGUGCCGCCCAAACACCUUUUCCCCAUAAUUCAGAUUUCCCAACAGGUGAAAGCAGGCGACAGGACCAUUACACCAUCCAACCAGGGCACUGGGUGAUCGUUAAGGAGUUCAGGAGGAAGCACUGGGACUCCAAACGGUGGCGAGGCCACUUCCAGGUCCUUCUGACGACCCACACGGCUGUAAAGAUCGCAGAGAGAGCGACUUGGAUCCACUCCACUGCAAGAAGGUCCCGGAUCCAACAGACGACCCUCCAUCUACAUCUACACCACACGAGAAAACCACCACUGACGAAAAGAAUUAAGAAGAACGACCCUCGCUGUGCUCACACACGCACUGAGGCGAGGCUGCGUUGACCGUUCAGCUAAAGGUGUGAGCCAAGCGCCGCCUGAAGCUGCGCCGAUGAAUCACACUAUCAGACCAUACAUCUACACACACGUUCCUGAGAAAACACACACACGAGCAGCCUUGAGUUGCCGACGCUGGACGACGUGUAGACUCUUCACAUCACGGGAGUGACAGUGACUCAGAGGACAUUGGGAGGAAACCUGGCGGUGAUAACGAAGUCUCUGUGAUCAGCUGAUCACAACCUGAAGAACUCCAACGAACUGGCAUUACAUCAACACACAGGUUGGAAACAAUCUAACGCUACUGUUCAAUAAGAAGAAGCAGAUUGUUACGAGACAUCAAUUGUAACCAUGUUGUGUUAGACCUUAUUUUGUUACUCUGAUUAUUGACUUGGUGUUUAAUUUGCUCACAAUCACUUUAUUCACUGCUACAAUUAGUUUUUAUCUAUCUAUUAAGACAACACGAGCGGAAAUAUGCAUCAUCAUUCUGGUUAAAUCCCUGAAUCUCCUAUUCGCUCUAGACCCAAAUGUACAAUUAAAGAUCCGAAAGUAUGAAAUCUAUCUUAAGAUUAUAUGAAACAGAACCCCACCGGAAACCUAUGGCUAUCAUACAUUAAUUGUCUUUAUUACAUUACAAUUGAAUGGCCGUAGACACGUUGUUAGCAGAGAAAAAAGGCGGUUGUGUUAUGUUUGGAGACGCAUGUUGUACUUACAUCCUGAAUAACACUGAUUCUAAUGGUAUUGUGGCGAAGGCGCUACACGGCCUUCAGAAUCUCAGCUAACUCUGGUAUAGGUUCUUUCCUCUUGGAAUUGGCUAGACGAAAUGUCUGGAAAAUGGAAAUCUGUUCUCAUGUCCACAGCUGUUUCCUUUAUCAUUGAGAUGGCUGUGAUUCUCUUGUUUGGUUUUUGCGUUAUCCCACUGGUUAGAGGUCUCAUCAUGCGUGCGACCUCAGCAACACUCGUAUCAAAUGACACAAUGCACUAUGUUCAAAAAUCCCAACUCUAAUUCACUUAAUAACUUUGACGAUUGUCUUAGGCUAUCUGAUCACAAAAUAUAAUCUGAUACAAAUAUGAUUAUUGACUUAUUUUCUUCACAUGCUCAUACAGAGGUUAUUCUUGUAUAACUACCCACCAAAAACUGCUCCCAAUCUUUUGUCCCUAAGUUACUUGCAUUUUAUGUGAAGGUGUAUUUUGAAUCUUGAUGAGUUAAUACCCUUAUUGUUUCAUUUGCAAGGAUCUUUUAUUAUUACAGAAUGUGAUGUUGACAAUUUUUCUUCUUAGUGGUUGAUUAAUGUGUAAUCAAAAGGGGGGAGUGUUAUGGCAAAAAUUGUCUCUUCUUUAUUUCUAUGUCUCUUCCUUAUUUCUAUGCAGUUAUUAUACGAGUUAUGACUUAUGUUCUGCAAUUAAUAUCUUAUGUUUUGUCUUACUGUAUGCAUUUGACAUUUCACCUAGAUUGUUCAAUGGUUGUCUCUGCCUGAUAGACUCUCAACUCUAGCUCCCAAACCCAAGGUCGGGGAGUUGUGUCUCUGUCUGUUGAGACUCGGUGCUCCUUUCUCACAGAUAGUUGGACGUCAGCGAUGCAGGUGUGAGAAAGUAAAAAUCUUCACACACACUGCGACAGGGAGGAGAUGGUGCAUGUAAUUUGAUUGGGUUAGAAAGACAUUCCACCCUAGUCAGACAGAGAAGCUAAAAGGCAGAAACAACUUGAGGAUCGUGGGCUCUUUGCAUCACACCUUCGUGGUGUGUGCACUGAUCUCCCCAGCUGGUUUUUGGUUUGUUGAUGUGCACGAUCAACAUCCAUGCUUUUUAUUUGCUUUCCCCAUUAUUUUUAUUUUCUUUAUUAUUUCAAUAAAUUGCACAAAAGGACAA